AGGGUGGCUACCUUAUUCUUGGCUAAGGCAAACCAAGAGUAUACUUACCAGUAUACAGCCAACCACAUAUUAUACAUAAUGCACUAUGUAUAUUAUGGAUAGGACACUGGCUAACAGCUGAAGUUGGUGCAAAACUACAAUUUCCAUACGUGGAUAACGAAACGUCGAAAGAGUAGUUAGAUUUAAACGGCUGGAAACACACAAAUGUUUGAAUUCUCACAUUGGAAUCCUGGUGUUUAAGGUAUACUGAAGUGCAAAUCAGUAUUUAUUGCUCCCAUAGGAGCUGUUGGG
rnacentral:ncRNA from 1 species